CAGUCGCCGCGGGAAUACGUAGGUGGCAAGCGUUGUCCGGAAUUAUUGGGCGUAAAGGGCUCGCAGGCGGUUUCUUAAGUCUGAUGUGAAAGCCCCCGGCUCAACCGGGGAGGGUCAUUGGAAGCUGGGAAACUUGAGUGCAGAAGAGGAGAGUGGAAUUCCACGUGUAGCGGUGAAAUGCGUAGAGAUGUGGAGGAACACCAGUGGCGAAGGCGACUCUCUGGUCUGUAACUGACGCUGAGGAGCGAAAGCGUGGGGAGCGAACAGGAUUAGAGACCCCUGUAGUCCCUGUCUCUUAUAC
rnacentral:rRNA from 1 species